UCGUCGUCGUUGUUUGUUUUGUUUUUUUUUUUUCUUUCUUUUUUCGUUUAUAUCCGAACAAAUAUUGUAAGUACAAAGCGCACCGAAAUUAUUGUAUCGCAAUAGUAAACAUUAUCUCCGAAAGGCCCAUCGGAAGCUGCCGGUCUUAAUAUGUACCGUUUACUAUCGUAUACAAAUAUAUUAUUAUUGAAAUAUUGUUAUCGACGAGUGACUUCGGGAAAAAAAAAAAAGUAAUACAAACACAAAUAUUAUACGUAAAUCUCGCGGUUAAUACGCUGUUUUUUAUUGUUUUUUUUUUUUUUUUUUUUUUUUUUCCUUCUU